rnacentral:tRNA from 1 species
GGGCCGGUAGCUUAGUUUGGAAGAGCACUGCACUCCUAAUGGCAGGGGUCGUGGGUUCAAAUCCCACCCGGCUCG